UGGGGGAUAUUGGACAAUGGACGCAAGUCUGAUCCAGCCAUGCAGCGUGCGGGAAGAAGGCCUUCGGGUUGUAAACCGCUUUUGUCAGGGAAGAAACGCUCUGGGCUAAUACCCUGGGGUAAUGACGGUAUCUGAAGAAUAAGCACCGGCUAACUACGUGCCAGCAGCCGCGGUAAUACGUAGGGUGCGAGCGUUAUUCGGAAUUACUGGGCGUAAAGCGUGCGCAGGCGGUUUUGUAAGACAGAGGUGAAAUCCCCGGGCUCAACCUGGGAAUUGCCUUUGUGACUGCAAGGCUUGAGUGCAGCAGAGGGGGAUGGAAUUCCGCGUGUAGCAGUGAAAUGCGUAGAUAUGCGGAGGAACACCGAUGGCGAAGGCAAUCCUCUGGGCCUGCACUGACGCUCAUGCACGAAAGCGUGAGGAGCAAACA
rnacentral:rRNA from 1 species